GUGCUUGCUUCAGCACCUCAUAUGCUAAAAUUUGAAUGAUACAGAGAACAUUAGCAUAACCCCU
rnacentral:snRNA from 1 species